CCUACGGGUGGCAGCAGUGGGGAAUAUUGGGCAAUGGACGCAAGUCUGACCCAGCAACGCCGCGUGAAGGCAGCAGGCUUUCGGGUUGUACACUUCUUUUAAGGGGGAAGAGCAGAAGACGGUACCUCUUGAAUAAGCCACGGCUAACUACGUGCCAGCAGCCGCGGUAAUACGUAGGGGGCAAGCGUUGUCCGGAUUUACUUGGUGUAAAGGGCGUGCAGCCGGGAAGACAAGACAGAUGUGAAAUCCCGGGGCUCAACCGCGGAACUGCAUUUGAAACUGUUUGUCUUGAGUGUCGGAGAGGUAGUCGGAAUUCCUAGGGUAGCGGUGAAAUGCGGAGAUAUUAGGAAGAACACCAGUGGCGAAGGCGGAUUACUGGACGACAACUGACGGUGAGGCGCGAAAGCGUGGGGAGCAAACAGGAUUAGAUACCCCAGUAGUC
rnacentral:rRNA from 1 species